rnacentral:rRNA from 1 species
AUACGGAGGAUCCGAGCGUUAUCCGGAUUUAUUGGGUUUAAAGGGUGCGCAGGCGGCCAUUUAAGUCAGCGGUUAAAUCGUGGGGCUCAACCCCAUUCUGCCGUUGAUACUGGGUGGCUUGAUUGCGGUCGAGGUUGGCGGAAUUCGUUGUGUAGCGGUGAAAUGCAUAGAUAUGACGAAGAACACCGAUUGCGUAGGCAGCUGACCAGAUCGCAAAUGACGCUCAUGCACGAAAGUGCGGGGAUCGAACAGGAUUAGAUACCCUGGUAGUCCGCACAGUAAACGAUGAAUACUUGUUUUCGGCGAUAUAAUGACGGAGGCAAAGCGAAAGCGAUAAGUAUUCCACCUGGGGAGUACGCCGGCAACGGUGAAACUCAAAUGAAUUGGCGGGG